UUGAGGAAGUAAAAGUCGUAACAAGGUUUCCGUAGGUGAACCUGCGGAAGGAUCAUUAUUGAAUAAAACUUGAACAGGUUGUUGCUGGCUCCUUGAGGCAUGUGCACGCUUGUCAUUUUUACUUCAUUUCUCCUCUGUGCACCAACUGUAGGUCUGGAGUUUUUUGAAAUUCUGUUUCGAUCGAGGACUUGCUGUGCCUUUCCUUGCAUCUCCAGGUCUAUGCUUUUUUACAAUCCCUCAAUGUGUUUGGAAUGUCGAAUUGUGAAUAUAUAUAAUUUAUAUACAACUUUCAGCAACGGAUCUCUUGGCUCUCGCAUCGAUGAAGAACGCAGCGAAAUGCGAUAAGUAAUGUGAAUUGCAGAAUUCAGUGAAUCAUCGAAUCUUUGAACGCAUCUUGCGCUCCUUGGUAUUCUGAGGAGCAUGCCUGUUUGAGUGUCAUGAAGUUCUCAACCAUAUUGAUUUGCUUCAAUGUGGAUUGGAUGAUGGGGGUUUGCAGGCCUUUAGAAAGGUCUGCUUUCCUAAAAUAAAUUAGUGGUGUCUGAGCAGAGACUACUGCAGGUGUGAUAAAUUAUCUAUGCCUUUUGUAAAAUGCUGCACAAACUGCUUCAAAUCUCAUUGUUGACCAAUUUGACCUCAAAUCAGGUAGGACUACCCGCUGAACUUAAGCAUAUCAAUAAGCGGAGGAAAAGAAACUAACAAGGAUUCCCCUAGUAACUGCGAGUGAAGCGGGAAAAGCUCAAAUUUGAAAUCUGGUGGUUCUUGACCGUCCGAGUUGUAAUCUAGAGAAGUGUUACCCGUGCUGGAC
rnacentral:rRNA from 1 species